rnacentral:rRNA from 1 species
GACGAACGCUGGCGGCGUGCCUAACACAAGCAAGUCGAACGGGGGGAUUUAUUUCGAUGAAUACCUUAGUGGCGAACGGGUGAGUAACGCGUGAGCAACCUAUCUUUAAGAGGGGGAUAACAGCUGGAAACAGAUGCUAAUACCGCAUAAGACCACACUGCCGCAUGGCAGAGGGGUCAACGGAGCAAUCUGUUUAAGGAGGGGCUCGCGUCCCAGUAGAUAGUUGGUGAGGUAACAGCUCACCAAGUCAGCGAUGGGUAGCCGAGCUGAGAGGCUGAUCGGCCACACUGGAACUGGGACACGGUCCAGACUCCUACGGGAGGCAGCAGUGGGGAAUAUUGGGCAAUGGGGGGAACCCUGACCCAGCAACGCCGCGUGAGGGAAGAAGGCCUUCGGGUUGUAAACCUCUGUCAUUAGGGAAGAAGAAAGUGACGGUACCUGAUGAGGAAGCCCCGGCUAACUACGUGCCAGCAGCCGCGGUAACAC